CCUACGGGGUGCAGCAGUGGGGAAUAUUGGACAAUGGGCGAAAGCCUGAUCCAGCCAUGCCGCGUGUGUGAAGAAGGCCUUCGGGUUGUAAAGCACUUUCAGUGGGGAAGAAAGCCUUGGGGCUAAUACCCUCGAGGAAGGACAUCACCCACAGAAGAAGCACCGGCUAACUCCGUGCCAGCAGCCGCGGUAAUACGGAGGGUGCGAGCGUUAAUCGGAAUUACUGGGCGUAAAGCGCGCGUAGGCGGUCUGAUAAGCCGGUUGUGAAAGCCCCGGGCUCAACCUGGGAACGGCAUCCGGGCGUUGGUGGGUGGCGAGAGGAGAGAGGAGGGGAGAAUCCCGGGUUGAGGGGGGAAAGGCGGAGAGUGGGGGAGAAAUACCGGGGGCCAAGUCGGCUUUCCCACCUAACCCAGCCGCGGAGGUGCGAGCGCGGGGAUAGCAAACAGGAUAAGACACCGGGGUAUUC
rnacentral:rRNA from 1 species